AGGUAACUGUUACAAAAUGUAAACAAUAUUGACUGCAGCGGAAAAAACAAAACAAAACCAUAAGCGUAACAAAACCAGCUUUUCUUCAGACUUUAGCGUGAUGGUUUAACAAUAUAGCCACUGAGAACGCCGGCCGCCACCCUCCUCCUCUCUAAGUCAGGCCAUAUAUUCUCCUCUCUAUUCAUGGUUUUUUAUUUUUUAUUUUUUUUGUAACCCAUUUUUUUGGCAGCCACCACCACCUCUGCUCUGUCGCUCUUGUGCCCUCCGCCGCCGCCGGUCUAAACAGAGAGUGAGCAAAUGUUAAACCAAGAAAGGAGAUACAUUCAAAUAAUUCUGUUCUGGGCAGAGUUAGAGUUUUAGAUCAACCAACUUUUAUAACAGGGUUGUCUUCUGUGCCUAUUUUCUUUCCUUGAACCUCUUUACUUGCAACAAUAUUUAUAGCUGAGACCUGUGACCGGAGGAGACCCGUGACUGGAGUUGUGACUUGAGAAGGCUGAUGACUGGAGGGUGGACGCCUAAAUGCUGUCUGAAACCGAGGAGGUCGCCAAAAAACAAAAAAAAGAGAUGGGAGAGGAGAGGGAGAGCCGUACGACUAUGAUACCUUAUAAAAUUUCUUGAAGGAAUUCGAAUUACUACUCGAGGGGAGCUCGAAGUUAAGAUGGAGGCAUUCCAGAUUGUGUAUGCACCACUGAGAUGCUUGGCACUUGAAGACUUCCAUAAAAGUGGAGAGAGUUGGUUCACAAGUUCUUAGGAACAAAUGAGAAUGGAGUUUUUAUAUUGUUUUUGUGUUGAAGUGCUUGUGAUGACUGGUAUCUCUAGUUGAUUUGCUUCUGUCUGGGCAAGGUCCCAUAAAUGUAAGUCAAGAGUAAUAUUCUUGGCUGAACAAUGUAAAUAUCUCAUGGUGUUCUUUAUGUUAGUUUGCAGACUUUGUAUUUUUAA